GAUGAACGCUGGCGGCGUGCUUAACACAUGCAAGUCGAACGAGAAAUGGAGACGGAAACCUUCGGGCGGAAGGCUUCAUUUCGAGUGGCGGACGGGUGAGUAACGCGUGGGUAACCUGCCUCAUACAGGGGGAUAACAGUUGGAAACGACUGUUAAUACCGCAUAAGACCACAGCACCGCAUGGUGCGGGGGUAAAAACUCCGGUGGUAUGAGAUGGACCCGCGUUCGAUUAGCCAGUUGGCGGGGUAACGGCCCACCAAAGCGACGAUCGAUAGCCGAUCUGAGAGGAUGACCGGCCACAGUGGGACUGAGACACGGCCCAAACUCCUACGGGAGGCAGCAGUGGGGAAUAUUGCACAAUGGGGGAAACCCUGAUGCAGCGACGCCGCGUGAGUGAAGAAGUACUUCGGGAUGUAAAGCUCUAUCAGCAGGGAAGAAAAUGACGGUACCUGAGUAAGAAGCCCCGGCUAACUACGUG
rnacentral:rRNA from 1 species